rnacentral:rRNA from 1 species
UGGGGAAUAUUGCACAAUGGGCGCAAGCCUGAUGCAGCCAUGCCGCGUGUGUGAAGAAGGCCUCGGGUUGUAAAGCACUUUCAGCGAGGAGGAAGGUGGUGAACUUAAUACGUUCAUCAAUUGACGUUACUCGCAGAAGAAGCACCGGCUAACUCCGUGCCAGCAGCCGCGGUAAUACGGAGGGUGCAAGCGUUAAUCGGAAUUACUGGGCGUAAAGCGCACGCAGGCGGUUUGUUAAGUCAGAUGUGAAAAUCCCCGGGCUCAACCUGGGAACUGCAUUUGAAACUGGCAAGCUAGAGUCUCGUAGAGGGGGGUAGAAUUCCAGGUGUAGCGGUGAAAUGCGUAGAGAUCUGGAGGAAUACCGGUGGCGAAGGCGGCCCCCCUGGACGAAGACUGACGCUCAGGUGCGAAAGCGUGGGGAGCAAACAGUUAGAUACCCUGGUAGUCACGCUGUAAACGAUGUCGAUUUUGGAGGUUGUGCCCUUGAGGCGUGGNUUCCGGAGCUAACGCGUUAAAUCGACCGCC